UACGGAGGGUGCUAGCGUUGUUCGGAAUCACUGGGCGUAAAGAGCGUGUAGGCGGCCCGAUAAGUCCGCUGUGAAAAGUCCAGGGCUCAACCCUGGGAUGCCGGUGGAUACUGUCGGGCUCGAGUCCGGAAGAGGAGUGUGGAAUUCCUGGUGUAGCGGUGAAAUGCGCAGAUAUCAGGAGGAAUACCGGUGGCGAAGGCGG
rnacentral:rRNA from 1 species